rnacentral:rRNA from 1 species
UACAGAGGUGGCAAGCGUUGUUCGGAAUUACUGGGCGUAAAGGGCGCGUAGGCGGCCCGCUAAGUCGAACGUGAAAUCCCCGAGCUCAACUCGGGAACUGCGUCCGAUACUGGCGGGCUUGAAUCCGGGAGAGGGAUGCGGAAUUCCGAGGUGUAGCGGUGAAAUGCGUAGAUAUCCGGAGGAACACCAGCGGCGAAGGCGGCUUUCUGGUCCGAUACUGACGCUGAGGUGCGAAAGCGUGGGGAGCGAUCCGG